rnacentral:rRNA from 1 species
GAUGAACGCUGGCGGCAGGCCUAACACAUGCAAGUCGAGCGAGCGGCGGACGGGGGAGUAAUGUCUGGGAAAAUGCCUGAUGGAGGGGGAUAACUACUGGAAACGGUAGCUAUUACCGCAUACCAUCUGAUGUGCCCAGAUGGGAUUGGCUCGUCGGGGGGGUAACGGCGAACCUAGAGGACGAUCCCUAGCUGGUCUGAGAGGAUGACCAGCCACACUGGGACUGAGACACGGUCCAGACUCCUACGGGAGGCAGCAGUGGGGAAUAUUGCACAAUGGGCGCAAGCCUGAUGCAGCCAUGCCGCGUGUGUGAAGAAGGCCUUCGGGUUGUAAAGCACUUUCAGCGGGGAGGCGUUACCCGCAGAAGAAGCACCGGCUAACUCCGUGCCAGCAGCCGCGGUAAUUC